rnacentral:misc_RNA from 1 species
CUGAGUUAGGGUCUUCCAGGCCCGACCUCCAACCCUUUGCCUACCUUACCUCUUGUUGCUUCGGCCGGCCCGUCCCCCCUAGAAAUAGGGGUCGACCGCCGGAGGGCUCACACCCUCUGGCCCGCGCCCGCCGAUGGCCCUCAACCAAAACUCUUGUUCAAUCGUGAAUUGUCUGAGUAUACAAAACAAAAUAAACCAA